CGCAAGCCUGAUGCAGCCAUGCCGCGUGUAUGAAGAAGGCCUUCGGGUUGUAAAGUACUUUCAGCAGUGAGGAAGGCGGGUACGUUAAUAGCGUGCUUGUUUGACGUUAGCUGCAGAAGAAGCACCGGCUAACUCCGUGCCAGCAGCCGCGGUAAUACGGAGGGUGCGAGCGUUAAUCGGAAUUACUGGGCGUAAAGCGCAUGCAGGUGGUUUGUUAAGUCAGAUGUGAAAGCCCGGGGCUCAACCUCGGAAUUGCAUUUGAAACUGGCAGACUAGAGUACUGUAGAGGGGGUAGAAUUUCAGGUGUAGCGGUGAAAUGCGUAGAGAUCUGAAGGAAUACCGGUGGCGAAGGCGGCCCCCUGGACAGAUACUGACACUCAGAUGCGAAAGCGUGGGGAGCAAACAGGAUUAGAUACCCUGGUAG
rnacentral:rRNA from 1 species